rnacentral:lncRNA from 1 species
CGUGAACAGUUAAUGUGUAUUUUCUCAUUACUAUGAACAGGUUUAUUUUUUGAUAUUCGGUUUCUGCUAUCCUUUUUAACAAACUAUAAAAAUCAUUUAGUCAUUUCAUCAACAUGAGCGAGCAAAAAGUAAAAAGGCAGCACAUAUCAGAUUUUCAUGGUGCUGGAGUUGAUGUGGUGAAGAUUACGGACAACGUUAAGUGUUCUAGCAGCUUAGUCUUUAAGUUGGCCAAGAUGAAAAAAAUGGAACAGACCUCUCCAGGAUGUCAGGAAGUGGAGGACAUAAUUUAAAGAGGGAUACGAAGUUCUUAUUAAGACCAUCAUGAGGGAUAUAAAACACAACUUUGGAUUUGUUUGUUUCACAUGGACCCCAAGCUACCUUCUUACUGAGAAUAUGAAAGCCAGCAGGCUCGAGAAGGCAAGAAAUUCCUUACAUGGAUCAAGGCAAAUAGGUCAAUUGUGAACAUUUUCUCGGAUAAGAAGAUUUCACAGUUGAUCAAUUCUACAACCACGAGAACCAACACUGGCUUGU